UGAGUCGGUCGGAUGGUUACUCUUGGCCUGUGUUUGCAGCCCGAGAGAGGAAAGUCCGGGCACCGCAGAACAGGAUGUCCCCUAACGCGGGGAGGUUCGCAGCAGCGGAUCAUGGAAAGUGCAGCAGAAAGUAAACCGCCCCGCUUUUAGCGGGGUAAGGGUGAAAGGGUGGUGUAAGAGACCACCAGAUCCUGAACAAAUUCAGGAUGCUUGUAAACCCCAUCCGGUGCAAGAUCGAAUAGGCUUCGAGAUGUUGUUCGCAUCGCUAGCCUGUCUGCCGUAGCGUAGCGCAGGCUGAAGGAGCGGGUAGGUUGCUCGACCACGAUGGUAACAUUGUGGCUAGAUCAAUGACCAUCCCUUUGGUUUUGAUUCGUCAAACCAAAGGACAGAACUCGGCUUAUAGAUCGACUCAAUUU
rnacentral:RNase_P_RNA from 1 species